GACUGGUCCAGAGGUAGCAAGUUAUCUCAAUUGAUUGUUCAUGCUCAGUUAUAGAUUAAACUCCUUGUUAUAUUUUCCCCCCAGCUCCUUCUCACUACUGCACUUGACCAGUUUUAA
ensembl:misc_RNA Y_RNA Y RNA